GAUUGGCUCUGGCAGGGCUGGAGAGGAGACCGCCGGGGUGGGCAGGGCACAGGGGGAGGGAGAGAAAGGACAAGAGAGGGGUCCGGCUCUGGCGCGAUAGGCCAGCAGCGGUGUCUGUCGAGCUGUCAGCGGCGGAGGGAGGAGAAAGGUGGGCAGGAUUGGAGACCCCGCUCCUCCCCCUCUCUCCUCUGGGCAUCACCGCGCAAAGGUGAGCAGAGCAAAGUGGGCGCUGAAAGCGGAUUGAAGGAUAUCUGCCCAUUUGCGCAGGUUACUUGUCGCAGGCACGGGUAUUUUGAGUCGAAACAUCGCCCCCUUCGCCCUCCUCGUGACUCAGCAAUAUUCCCGAGAAGUCAAGUAGAGGUGACCAAGGGGAUGGAGCAGUGGAAGUCAGCCAAGAGAAAGGGUACCAACUCCAAUUAAAGCCACUUUAUUAGGUACACCUUCCUAGCAGUGGGUUGGACUGCCUUUUGCCUUCAAAACUGCUUUAAUUCUUCAUGGCAUGGAUUCAACAAGGUGCUGGAAACAUUCUUCACAGAUUUUGGUUCAUCUAGACAUGAUAGCAUCACACAGUUGCUGCAGAUUUGUCAGCUGGACGUCCAUAAUGUGAAUCUGCUGUUCCACCACAUCCCAAAGGUGCUCUACUGGAUUGAGAUCUGAUGACUGCCGAUGCCAUUUGAGUACAGUGAAGUCAUUGUUGUGUUCAUGAAGCCAGUUUGAGAUUAUCUAUACUUUGUGACAUGGCACACUACCCUGUAAAAAGCAGCCAGCAGAAGAUGGGUACGCUGUGAUUUGCCACUAAAAUCUGAAAAAAACAAAACAAAACAAAACAAAAAAAACUUGUGAGUUUCUUGCCCCAAAAUACUGGUUAGUUUUUUCUAACUAAACGGCACAUAUGAUUCUACCUUCAUAUUAGCUACAAGGAUUUUCUUGUCAGAUGUGUCCGAUAAAACCUAAACAAGCCUAUGUUAUUGUUUUUCUUUUCUAUGUGGUAUCUGUUGCAUUUCAAAGAAUGACCAUGUCUAGAUCUACCAAAAAAAUCCAUAUUUCUCAGUAGGGCUGAAACACAUACCAUGAUUCAUAUUUCACAUAAAACAGUAAUAACUUGAGGUUUUUGUUUUGGUUUGUUUUUUUUAGUUUUUUUUUUUUUUCUGUACUAAGAAUCAAAACCUAUUUCUAAUGAAAAUGACAUAAUACUUUUUUUUUUUUUUUUUUUAAAUUGGUGGGACAUUUUCAAUCUACAGUUACAAAGAACAAGUCAACUACAAGUCAAUUUGAGUUUUAAAUUCCAUGAUUUAUGCAAAUUAUGCUGCUGCUUUCCUGUAAACUGUCUUUCUGGGAGUGUGGUAAAAGCUUUACAACAGCAUUUACACCUUUUUGAUGGAAAAAAAACACAAUGCAAAGUAUAAUUGAAGUGUUCGGUUAAAAAAAAGAAAAUAUGGAAAAUCUGUGAGACAAUCUUUUUGCGUGGGAGUGUUUGCUCAGUCACAGCUCUGAGCAUGAUUAAACAACAAAACAACAAUUAUUACUGUGGAGAGUUCACUUUUAACAGUGUAAAGCUUUUUUGUGAAACCCAAUUCAGUUCAGUUCAAUUUAAUUUCUAAUGUGCCAAAUCACAACAACAAAUCAAGACUACAAUAAUACAAAGAAAACAGAGAAAACCAUCAUAUAUCCUUAUAUGAGUAAACGCUUUGGCAACAGUGGGAAGGAAGAACCCCCUUUUAACAGGAAAAAACCUCUGGCAGAACCACUAUAACUAUAGUUCAUAACAGUUUUUAGUUAUGAAUGUAAAAGUCCUGCUUAAAUGGUCCAAAUGUCACACACACACACACACACACACACACACACACACACACACACACACACACACACACACACACACACACACACACACACACACAAUAAGCUCACAACUCACAAGAUGAUACCUAAAUCCACUUUAUUCUUACAUCCAGCUAUACACCAUCAUCAUCAUCAUGUCAGCAUCAUCAUCAUCA
ensembl:lncRNA